GACUUGUUCCUCAUUGAUUUCAUCCAUGUAAGUUUAAUUUCAACCUUAAAAUGUUUCGUGCACUGUUCUGCUUAAAAAAAACAUACCUAGUGUAUAUUUUAGAAAAGUCAUCAAAUAAUUCUGAGCAGAAUUGUCUUUUCUAGUUUUGUAGACAUUUGAUCCUUUCAGAAAAAGGCCAUAUCGAGUGGAAGCUGAUGUAUUUUACGCUUCAGAAGUAUUACCCGACCAAAGAGCAGUACGGAGACACUUUGCACUUCUGCCGACAUUGCAGCAUUCUCUUCUGGAAGGUAAGGACUUGGGAUGUGAGGACCAGCUGUUCAUCCGUGUCUUAAACAGAAAGGUGAGAAGACAGGAAAUAAUACCCGUGAUGGGAGCGUUACUGAGAAGCAUUCCACCGGAUACUGGGAGCGGACGUGGGGCGUCCAUACAAGACACUUGUAAGGCCAGCGGUGUGGAAAGCUGGGUGCUGUGCACUUCUGAGUGGAGACCCUGUCCUAGCUACAGUGCCCAUGCUCUCUCAGGACUGCCCGCAGGGCAUCAGGGCCAGCCUUAGCCUCUUGUCUCAAAGCCGGGUUCUUUGGUAGGCGGUAGGGCCGUGGGACACACAUGCUCAGAGUGAAUGUGCAGACCUAACAAGACUAACUUUUACACCCAAAGACUGAUCCUGUAGUGAAAAGCUUAGGUGUCCCUGUCAGUGAUUUUGAUAAGUGAGUCAGGAGCCCUUCAUCCCAUCAUGCUAUAUUGAAAUCUCACCACCCAUUUUGUCUCUGGUUACAGUAGUGCGUUUCCCAUACCCAGAGAAGAGGCUGUGUGUCCCUUCCUUCCCUGGUAGCGGCUGUAAUGAGCUCAGAUGGCUUGGCUUUACCUUUAUCUAAAUUUGGGAUACAAGGCAAGCUCUUAAUUGUUGGCAAAGGACAACUUUAAAUGGUUUCAUCUCAAACUCCAUUUAUAGCCACAUAGCCUUUAUUGUGGUGGCCCAGAGCCGAGCAGAGGAGUGAAGCUGAAGAUGUUGCCACUGUCAUGUCCGGCAAGGACACCAAGGGGAGUUAGUCCUUCCUGAGGUGGUUUCUCCCUCCCCCCCCCCCCCGCCUUGGUUCUUUUCUUUCUGAAAACCAAAAGUGUGUGUGAAGUGUCUUUGCAGCAGGCAGACUGGUCUCUAGAACACUUUCUCUUGAGAACAGGGUCAUCUUACGCUCAGUUUGGCCGCAGUUCUUUGCUGAGGUCAUACACACACAAAAGACAGCCUGCUAGUGUUCCCUCCUCCCCAGACAACAACAAUACCUUAAGAUGCUUGAUAAACGGGGGUUGGGGAUUUAGCUCAGUGGUAGAGCGCUUGCCUAGGAAGCGCAAAGCCCUGGGUUCAGUCCCCAGUUCCGAAAAAAAGAAUCAAAAAA
rnacentral:lncRNA from 1 species